CUUUAAAUCAAACAGCCAGACAUUAUUUCUUGCCAGACAAAACUCACCAUAGUUGCUUAAUUAAAUGAAUAGAAAGAAAACAUGUAGAAGUAAACCUGUCCCAGCAGCAAUCACUGCCAGCCUCAGGUUUGCUUCUUGGUUUCAGAUUUCUCUUCCUGAUAUACACAGAUAACUAUAUAAUGCAGGCAGCAUUAAGUAUGUGGACUUCAGCCUUAAUUACCAGUAAUGAGGCUCAUAAAAAUUUUCCCAUAUAGGAUGAAGGGCAACUGUUCAAGUACACACUGCAGGAUACACCUGGAGAGUGUGAUGGAAGUUUUCUGGUCUACUACUUGACCAUUUGACCAGAGGAGGGGCUCUGUGGAUUCUGGAAUUAAGGGUAUUUCUGUGAUUGCAUCUAGACUGCAACAGCAAAUCUGGGACAUUUCUGAAGGCCCUAACUACCACUGCUUUUGGAGAAGACAGGAGAGAGGAUGCCCUGCAAUGAACAUCUUCCAGGCUUACUAUUACCAGAGGUACAGAGCUGCCAUGUGCCCUCAUGAGGAUACUUGACCCUGCAGCCCCCACAAGAGCUCCCUCCCAAUCCCCAAUUAUGCUGCAGAAACUUUGCAUGAAACUGUAGUUUCAAGACUUCAUUAUUUCUAACCACAACCAUUCAAAAGGCAUGUGUACAAGAUCGUGCUGUCUUCUCUUUGCAGAACUGAGAAAACAAACAACUCCCGAGCAUAUAAAGUCACACUGCCCCAUUUUAUAGCAGUGUCUGUUCAAGGAUUUUUCAAGAAAGUCAUCUCUGUCCUUUGUGAUAUCAGUGGAGUGAACUAUUCCUGAAAUUACAGCUGUUUUUCUCUUCGGGGUCAACCUGCACUGUGUAGGAGCCAUUCAUAUGUUAUCCAUACCAGAGGCAUAUCUAAGAUAACUCCACCUGCACAUCAUGUAUGUCCUGCAAAUGUUCUUCCUCACAGUACAAGCAGGUAUUCCUUAAAAAGAAACACAACACUCAAAUAAGAAUUAUAUUUGGAACAAGACUUGCCCAGGGUGAUAAAAACUCUUCUGCCAGGCAGUGAAAGGGCAAGGGCUGACAUCUGAGCAGUUUUAAUGAGUUUCCUGUAACUGCACAAAGUCCAACGGCACCCUAUGCUUCCAGUAACUGCAUUGUUUUACUUCAAGUGAAAGCCAGUUCAGCCAAGAAGAAACACCACUGAGGUGAGAAUUCUUUCAAGACUGGCCUUUUAGAAAAGGAUUGGAGAAAGCAGAAAGCAGGAGAUGUCUUGGAAACCAGAACUUCCUCUCUCUGCGCCUGCUAUAACGAUACGUGAGAGUGCUUUCAGCAAUGUACCACAGCCUGCCACUCA